CAGCCGCCGCGGGAAUACAGAGGGUGCAAGCGUUAAUCGGAAUUACUGGGCGUAAAGCGCGCGUAGGUGGUUUGUUAAGUUGGAUGUGAAAGCCCCGGGCUCAACCUGGGAACUGCAUCCAAAACUGGCAAGCUAGAGUACGGUAGAGGGUGGUGGAAUUUCCUGUGUAGCGGUGAAAUGCGUAGAUAUAGGAAGGAACACCAGUGGCGAAGGCGACCACCUGGACUGAUACUGACACUGAGGUGCGAAAGCGUGGGGAGCAAACAGGAUUAGAUACCCGAGUAGUCCCUGUCUCUUAUAC
rnacentral:rRNA from 1 species